UACGGGGGGGGCAAGCGUUGUUCGGAAUUACUGGGCGUAAAGGGCGCGUAGGCGGCCUGCUAAGUCGAACGUGAAAUCCCCGGGCUCAACUCGGGAACUGCGUCCGAUACUGGCAGGCUUGAAUCCGGGAGAGGGAUGCGGAAUUCCGGGUGUAGCGGUGAAAUGCGUAGAUAUCCGGAGGAACACCGGUGGCGAAGGCGGCUUCCUGGACCGACACUGACGCUGAGGCGCGAAAGCUAGGGGAGCAAACGGG
rnacentral:rRNA from 1 species